UUGGAAACGUUGAAUAGUAUAAUGAUCGAUAAAAUGAUAUGUGAAAGUAGAAAAAUAUAAAAAUAUACGUUACGCUCAUUUGUCGAUAAAUUGUUAAGUGUUGCUAAAUACAGUGUCGCAGCUGUUUCACGGUAGCGCGAGAAUUUUUGAGCAAAUGGUGUGGCAAGGUAAAACACUCUGUUUAUCACGAGUAACUGUUCAUUAAACGAACUGAUGAAUUAUUUGCCGAUAAUGCUUCUUUGAAGUAAUCAUUCCGAGUUUCAUUACUGAAUCAUUAUUGAAGCUUAUGAUAUAGCCGAUGGAUGCAGAUGACCGGAAGCUGAUUGAUUACCGGCCACAAUUCAAAUAUUCAGGUUACUUGAGCCAAUUUCUUUUUUUCCAAGUUUCGCAUAAUGAAGAGGCGAUAAUUUGAACGAUCAAUGAUACUUUUUAUUUGCGAGUAGAAAAAU